CGUAGGGGCAAGCGUUGUCCGGAUUUACUGGGGCGUAAAGAGCGUGUAGGCGGCCAAACAGGUCCGUUGUGAAAACUGGAGGCUCAACCUCCAGACGUCGACGGAAACCGUAUGGCUAGAGUCCGGAAGAGGAGAGUGGAAUUCCUGGUGUAGCGGUGAAAUGCGCAGAUAUCAGGAAGAACACCUAUGGCGAAGGCAGCUCUCUGGGACGGUACUGACGCUGAGACGCGAAAGCGUGGGGAGCGAACAGGAUU
rnacentral:rRNA from 1 species